rnacentral:rRNA from 1 species
GACGAACGCUGGCGGCGUGCUUAACACAUGCAAGUCGAGCGGAGCGGCGAACGGGUGAGUAACGCGUGAGUAACUGCCCCCCUCUCUGGGGUAACAUUUGGAAACGGCUGCUAAUACCGGACAGUGGGGGGGGACUCGCGUCCGAUCAGCUUGGUGGUGGGGUAGUGGCCUACCAAGGCGACGACUGGUAGCCGGCCUGAGAGGGCGACCGGCCACAGUGGGCUGAGAUACGGCCCAACCUCCUACGGGAGGCAGCAGUGGGGAAUAUUGCACAAUGGGGGAAACUCGGAUGCAGCAACGCCGCGUGCGUGAUGACGGCCUUCGUGUUGUAAACCGCUUUCAGCCAUGACGCGGUAGUGGCAGAAGAAGCACCGGCUAACUACGUGCCAGCAGCCGCGGUAAUAC